rnacentral:tRNA from 6 species
GCCGAGAUAGCCUAGCCAGGUAAGGCGCGGGACUUGAGAUCCCGUGGAGUUAUCUCCUCAUGGGUUCAAAUCCCAUUCUCGGCG